UGGUCACUUUAUCCUCACUAACCGCGUCGCCAUCCGUUAUCAAUACACCCAGACGGCGAGAAAUCCAGCUCAGCAGAUAGCCGACUGUGUACACAAACACACUCCGAGCAAAGAGGAGAGAUAGGAGGCACACCGGGCCGGCGCAACGGCGACUCUUUCAGCAUUUUUUUUAAUACUCUCAUAUCACAACUGUAGUGCAGUGUGUAUGAAUGUGGCGAGCUGAUCCACCUGAUCUGGCCCGAGCUCCUUCCAGGCGGUUUUCAGAAACAUCAAUAAUGCCAGAUGAAGACGGAUCUAUUUACUUUUGUUUUGCCUCCACUAUGGCAGAUAAAAAAAAAAAGCACCUUUAAACAGCUACUGCUGAACAACCACUACUCUCCCAUGGCAGAAGUAAAAGUUCACAGAAAUGUUCUGUAUUUACACAGUAACAGCAGAAACGCACGAGGAUUAUGCCUUUGAGUGAUGACACUCUGGAGCGCUCAAUUGUCAGGGCUUGACAAACCACUUGCCGAUGCGGACAAAGCUUCGAUUCAUGAGGCAGCGCUCAAGCAAGUUGUGGAUGGCUUUGAACAGCAGAGUGCGACACUCGUAGGAGAGGCCGUUCUCCCACAGCCCAUCGUCCUCGGC